UGAUUCCAGAUUCUGCUUCUGGGUCUAUACCCCCAAAAGAUUUCAAAGUUAGGACUUGAACAGAUAUUUGUACACCAAUGUUCACAGAAGCAUUGCUCACAAUAGCCAACAGGUAGACUAUCUAUUCCCCGAUGGAUGAACAGAUAAAGGGUAAUCUACCCGAAUCAUGGAAUCUUAUUCAGCCUCAAAAAGGAAAUGCUGACACAUGGUACAACAUGAAUGAACUUUGAAGACAUCGUGCGUUGUGAAAUAAGACAAAUAUGAAAGAGCAAAAACUGCAUGAUUUCAUUUGCAGGAAGUACCUGGAGUAGUGGAGUUCACUGAGGCAGAAACGAGAGAUUUCAGGGGAAAUGGAGGAAAUGGAGGAUUAUUAUGUAAUCGGUGUGGGCUUUUUUUGGGAUGAUGAAAAAGCUCUGGGGAUGGAUGGUGAUGAUGGCUGCACAACAAAGUGAAUGUCUUUAAGGCUAUUUAACUGUACACUUAAAAAUGGUUAAAAUGAGGAGUUCCCAUUGUGGCACAGUGGAAACGAAUCCGGCUAGGAACCAUGGGGUUGCGGGUUCGAUCCCUAGCCCCAUUCAGUGGAUUAAGGAUCUAGUGUUGCUGUGAGCUGUGGUGUAGGCCAGCAGCUGUAGCUCCUGUUGGACCCUUAGCCUAGGAACCUUCAUAUGCUGUGGGUGCGGCCCUAAAGAGUAAAAAAAAGAAAAAAAAAAGUUAAAAAUGGUAAAUGGUAGGUUAUGUAUAUGCUACCACAAUUAAAAAAAAAUAUCCUAGACUCUAGAGCCAGCCAGACUGUAGGUUUGAACCUCAGUGCUCUCACUUACAAGCUGUGUGGCUUUGGGUUAGUUACUGAGCCUCUCUGUGACCCAGUUAUCUCAUUUGUUAAAUGGAUAUCAGAAUAAUCCCUGUCUUGAGGGCUGUUGAGGGGAUUAAAUGAGUUGAUGUGUGUGAUGUGUUAACACAAUACACAGUGUGUGUGGCUACGUAUGUGUAUUACCUUUAGCAGAAGCAGACCAGGACCUUGGGAUGAGGAAGCUGGGCCAGUGCCUUGGGGCAGGUGGGAUGGACGAGAUUUGCCUUCACUUUUGUGUCUUGCCCCUAUCAUGCACUGUUACUGGGCAGCCAGCAUUGGAGAAGCAGAGGCCGUGAUUGGAUGGAGCAGAGUGAAGCCAAGGGAGAAGUUAAAUGGGGAAGGGGAACCUCGUGGAAGACAGGACUGCUUGCUUGGUCCAGCUUUCCUCUACUGCUGCUGAUCUCAGAGCCUCCUGCCAAACUAGGAUAUUGGGUGAGCCUCUGUAAAGGAAGUUUCUCAGGGUCUUCCUGAGAAACAGAACCAAUAGGGUAUGCAUGUAUGUGUGUGUGUGUGUGUGUGUGUAUACAUAUACACAUAUAUAGAAAUAUUUAAUAUAAGGAAUUGGCUCAUAUGAUUAUGGAGACUGGUAAGUCUAAAUCUGCGGUGGUUUUUGGCAGGCUGGGGACCCAGGAGAGUUGAUGGUGCAGGUCCAGUCCAAAGGCUGUCUGCUGGAGAAUUCCUUCUUGCUCUAGGAGGCCAGGCUUUGUUGCUGUUGUUAUUGUUCUUUUUCUAUUCAAGUCUUCAGCUGAUUAGAUGAGGCCCACCCACAUUAUGGAGGGCAAUCUGCUUUACUUAAGGCCAUGGAUCUAAAUGUUAAUCUCAUCCAAAAACACUUUCACAGAAACAUCCAGGAUAAUGUUGGACCAACUAUCUGGGCAUCCUGUGGCCCAGCCAAGAAGACACAUUAAAUGAACUGUCAUAGGAACUAAUCAUUAAAUGAACAUAAGAGGAACUAAUUUCCUGAUGGCCUUGACUGGGGGUAUGCAGGGACCCUCAGCAGUUCUCCCUGCAUUGUUGGCUGCCCCCUCAAUCUGUUUCCUGCAGAGGCUUGCAGAGAUCUCUCCAAGCAUAGCUCUGAUCCCUCCCCUUUGCUCCAGGAUAAACAUCGCAUUCUCAUUAUUCCUUACCAGGCCCUGCUUACCUCCUUGCCAGCUUACCUGUUCACCUCUUGCAUUUUAGCCUUGUUCUCAGCUCUCCAGGUAUAUUGGUCUCCAGGCCUUUCCCUGCUCCUUCUCUCCACGUGUGUUUUGAAGAUGCUGGUUCUGACUUCUUGGGAGUAUCCCCCACCUCUUCCCCAGAGCUCUUGAUUCCUCUACCUUACAAUCUGCUCUCAUCUGUCUCUUCUGCAUCAGAGCUAGGCCCUGGGCUGGACGCUGAGGACAGGUGGGCAGGUUAGAGCUGGGCUGGGACAAGGCAAAGGGACAGAGGGAGGCAAGAAUGAACAGGUACUGAGGGACCAGAGCAGAGCGCUGUGCAGGAGGGAACCGUUUGACACCACCCCCCCUCCGCCCCGACAGGACCACUUCCCCCAAAGGAGGGCUAACUUGGCCAGAUUCAGGAUGUUGGGUCCUGUUUACCUGCAGGCAGGGAGGCUGUGCUCUCACUCACUCAGCCUUGUGCUGGGACUAAAUCUGAGCCAAGCAGGAUCGCUGUUAAUGGGUGACUUUGGGGCCCUUUGGAUCCACCCCCAAUUUCCUACUAGCAUUUACUCUCCAAAAUGACGCGAGCCAAAAAUUGACAUAAAAGGAAGGUGCUUAUUAUUCAAGUGUGCUUUUUCUUUUACUUUUACAGCCGUACCUGCAGCAUAUGGAAGUUCCUGGGCCAGGCGUUGAAUUGGAGCUACAGCUGCUGGUCUAUGCCACGGCCAUGGCAACACUGGAUCCGAGUCGCAUCUGUGGCCUACGCCGAAGCUUGUGGCAACACUGGAUCCUUAACCCACUGAGCAAGGCCGGGGAUCAAACCUGCAUCCUCACAGAGACAAGGUCAGGUCCUUAACCCAUGGAGCCACAGUGGGAACUCCCAAACGUGCCUUUAAGACCAGUCCCUUAGCUGUCUUGCUGUAGCCAAGACUGGAGCCAGAUGGUAAGCCUCAUUCUCUUUUCAAAUAACUCUAGAGCCUUCACUGCUUUGGGGUUGGCCACUGUUUUAGUCAUCUCUUGGAUUUAGGGCUGAGCACAGGAGUUAUGCCCUAGAGACAUCAGACAUCGACCUAGCUAAUAAUAAGUGGCAUUUUUUCCUGUUAUUCCUUGGGUAUGUAGCCUAAGGAGAAGGGAUAAUUAGCCAAAUAAAAUGCAGACACGCCUAGGCUCUCCAGGCAAAUGCCACUUAUUAAAUCAAAACUUCAUUUAGAAUUCUAGUACCCGUGACUAACCCUGCCUGGGGGAGGGGAACAGAGAGGGAGGUCUUCACAGGGGAAAUAACACUGUAACAUGGGGUUUUGAUGGGUGAUGAGGAGUUCUUGAGGAAGAGAAUUCAUGAGGAAACCAACAGGCUUUGGCGUGAGAAGGAAAGGAGUUAAAAUUGAGACUCAGUUGGCACCUGUAUGCGCAGAAGCAAGACGCUUCCCCUCCUAGUGUCUGUUUCCUUACCUAUAAAUUAGCGGUAAUAAAAUAACUGGUGCUCCAAGGUUGUUAAGAUUGAUGAUAGUGCCUGUGAGCUGCUUGGCAGAGUGUAGGUGAUCAAUAAAUAAGCAAAAAUUCUUCUUUGGGGGCACCCAUGUUUGGAUGUCUGAGGCCCAGAAGGGUCUGCCAUCUUUGAAGCCUAGAGAGAAGUUCUAUGGGCUCGGUCAAGGGGCUCCAGUUCUUUCUUGUCUCUCCUGCCCCAGUCCCGUCUGGUUCACUGCACUUGCUGACUUGACCAGCCAAUAAUGAUUAGUUAUAAAUGGGAGAAUCUGGGUCCCAGCCAGGCCCAUUCUGGAGGCCGGGCUGAUGGAACAGGCAGGAGGGAGCUGGAGGAGGAGAUUGCUGGGUUUGCUGGGCAUCAUCCACCCUCCCUGGCUUCCUGUGACUCCAUGGCAUGGCUGGGGGUUGUGGGAAGCUGGCCAUGCUUUGGGCUUUUGUCCAUUCUGGGUCUUAGUGGGACAAAGCAGGAAGAGCUGGAAGCGCCAUUCCUCUGGCUUCGUGCUAUUUAAUGUAACUUUGUGUGUUUCAUCACUGAACUUACUCUGAAUCCACAGCAGGACUUCAAUGUUCUUUGUUUCCUUCCUAUGGGACAAAGCAAGAUGUUUGUAGGAAAGGGGGCUGGAGGCCUGAGUUAGGAUCCCAGCUCUCCUGGGGAUAGGUGCAUCCCUUUCCUUCAUCUGUGAAAUGGAAUGCCAGGCUGUGAGGCCGGGUGAGUGCAGAUGGGCUAAUGUCUGUGGGUGAGCUUUGGCCGUUGUACGGGGGCAGGGCUUUAAGGUGAGGGUGGGAGGCUUGGUCUCACUGAAACCCUGGGUAGGUUUUAAUCCUUUGGUGUGAUGAGCCCUUUCUGUUGAAGGUAGGAUCUGGAAUUUUUGGUGUCUCCCCUUCAACCCUUUGGGCACUGAAACCCUAUGACUGCACACAUCCAGGGAGACACUUCUUAGAGCAGAGGCCUCUAAGGCAGAAGUUCUUGGAGUUCCCAUCAUGGCUCAGCAGAAAUGAACCUGACUAGUAUCCAUGAGGAUGCAGGUUUGAUUCCUGGCCCCACUCAGCGGGUUAAGGAUCUGGAGCUGGGGUGUCGGUCACAGAUGUGGCUUGGAUCCAGCAUGGCAUGACUGUGGCAUAGGCUGGCAGCUGCAACUCCUAGCCUGGGAACUUCCCUAGCCUGGGUGUGGCCCUAAAAUAAAUAAGUAAAUAAGUAAAUAAAAACAAAUAAGGCAGAAGUUCUCAAGGGGUCAUUUCCGGUCCAGCAGCAGCACCAGGGAAUAUGCUAGAAAUGCAAGAUUUUAGGCUCCCUUCCGGACCUCAUGAAUCAGGAUUCAGGGAGGGGGUCCAGCCCUCCUUGUGAUCCUGAUGCUCAAGCGUGGGAAUCACUGCUCAAAGGCACUACCCUUUCCGCAGGGUGCCCCCUCCCGCCCUCCCCUAUCCCAGCUGGGGGCCCCUUGGAGGGGAGGAGGCUGCAAGACUGCCACUGAGUCUCCCUGCUGGAGAGGGAAACCAGGAGGGGGCGUUGCUUCCCUCUGCCUCUAACUCAAGCCAUCCCAGAACCUCACCAGUGGGGCUGAUGCCAGGGUAUUUGAAUAGCUCAUUAGCUCUGCUCUGGGCUUCAAUCCCUCUUAAUUAGUUUUGCAAACGGUAUU
rnacentral:lncRNA from 1 species